rnacentral:lncRNA from 1 species
UUUUUUUUUUUUUUUUGCAUAUAAAGUUUAUCAUCUAAUCACUCACAGAAUAAAGUGCCGAGCAACAUUUGAGUAAUCAGACUGAAUGCAUAAAUAUCUUGUAGUUACACAGUUGUUACAGCAUAUCAUUUCUUAGUUAGUUUUCUGCUUUUACAGCUAUCAUCAGUAGUGACUUCAAUCCCCUCCUAAACAGUAACUGGUCUCUUCAGAAAUGAUCUCAGGUGGGGAAGGAAGAGGGAAACCUUGUUUCUCCCGCUGCUGACACCAGCAGGCACAAAUGAAGGUGAUGAGCAACGAUUACUUCCCUGGACACUUCGGGAUUUGCCAAUUUCCCACAUGACCUCAAAGACAAUAGAUCCCAAACUCUGGCACUCCCACAAGUGGCCUUCUAUUUUUGACACUGUGGAAGGUAUCAUACAUUAAAAACAGGUCCCACAGCCAGCAUGUGUGCUCCUCUCCACAGUGCAACAAGUGCCAUUUUCCCCUUUCAAGGCCUUGCUCCCCCAGCAUGGGCCUCAUUGACAAAAUUUAUGAGUCUUGCCACUGGUAGGGCAAAGUUGCUGCCUCCAGUGAGCUCUGGUGCUGUCUUCAGUUUCUGCACACAGCAGCUCAGGGUGUUACAGCUCACCUGGAGAUUUCAAAAAUUAAAGUUAAAUGCUUACACCUUCUUAUAUAUACACCAAGUAUUUUGUUUCUAAUUCUUGAACUAAUUUCCACUUCCUACCCCAAAAUAGCCAUGCUUCAAGAAGGUACUGUUUUCUCAGGAAGAAUUAAAUUUAUUUAACUUUCUCAUUGUCUUCUAUAUGCAAGACUCACUGGCUUCAGAUUGUGUCCCCUGAUGUAAGAUAGUUAUUUAACCAUCAAUGCACCAUCCUUUCAAACAGAAGAAAUCGUGGUCUUGGGAAACAAGGUCCAGGAAUCCUGACUGCUUCGCAGGAGUGGGGGCAACAGGAACACAUUUUCUAUGGAAAUUUUCUAGACAGCUCAGCCAAUAAUUCCAAAUGAAAGCAAAUACAAACAUUUGUUAACAAAAAACAGUCCCCUCAUACAUGAAAAGUAUAUUGACAACAUCUCCUUGGCCAGUACAUAUAAAUUUAGCAGAGAGAGAUAACAACUGGAACCCCAUAUACAUUACUAGGGAGGUGCUCAUAUUGAAGUGAACAGAGAUGCUCUGAACACUUCUAUGUUUCAGAGGCAUCUGACUCAUUUUUAAAGGAGAUGUAAUUCCAAUAGUCUGAUGGUUUAGAGAUCACAUACUCCACUUGCCAUCUAGGAUAUCGGCCUCAUAAACCGAUAUUCCGAAUCAGCUUUUUGUUUGGUAAAGACCCUUUUAAGUUCAUCCUGUUUUCUGUGGCAUUCAAAAUACCAAUUAAGGGAUAGAUGAAUGAGAAAGCAGGCAAGAAUGAUGCAGGAAUGGCCUAAAGUUGCAUCAGGGAAAUUUUAGGUUUUAUAUUAGUAAAAGAUUCUUCACCCAGAGCACGGUUGGGCACUGGAACUGGGUCCCCAAGGAAGCAGUCACAGCACAAAACCUGACAGAGGUCAAGAAGAUUUUGGAAAAUGCUUUUGUGCACAUGGUAUGACUCUUUGUAUAUCUUCAGGUUUCCAAUACUGAGAAACAAGAAAAUCACAAGGAGACACAAACCAGGGAAGGUGGCACCUUCGUAGUGUCCAACAUAACCCCUUUCUAGUAAUCUUUCAGGUUUAGCACACCUGGAAUAUCUAGCAGAUCUAGCAAGAGGCCCUGAAACAGCUAUUAGCAUCUGGCACCUACCACUGCAAGCACUUUCUCAUGUGAAACAGAAGCAGCACUACCAGCCAGUUCCCACUGGGAAUAGACAUCAUGCUGUCCCCAAUGGGGAAAACACACUGAUAAAUUGGCUAAAAACACUGAGAUUUGCUGGUUCCAUGCAAAGCACUGAAAUAGAGCCACCUGCAAAAUUAAAUAGGCCACAUAAAUAGGUCCUCAUAUCUCAGGCACAGCAGACACAAAUAACUUACAGACCAAGCAGCCAGGCAGGGAAGCUUGCUGCCGCUCUCCUUUGCCUGUUUGUCCAGCGGGAACGCAGACUCAAGCAUGCAUAUUAAAACUCACAGCAUUUCUGCAAAGCUGGCAGCAAGGGAGAGGGCAGCACACCUGAAGCACUCUUCACUCUCAUCAAGCUGUGCUGAAGCGGCCUGGGAGGAGCUGAUUGCAAUCACAGUCUCCUGCUGAGCCAGAGGGACACCACAGAAGGCUGUAUCCAGCUGGACUGGACUAAGAUGUAGUAACAGUGGCCACAAAGAAUGAAGGCUCAAAAUAAAAGAAUGAAUUUUGGGACAGCAGAAUGAUGGAUGCACCAUGUAUCUGUGAUCAAAUCAGAAAUUAGACUACAUCCCAGGACACUGUAUUCAUAUGUAGGUAAGUAUAAGCAAAUGUACCUGCAGAACAGCUCUUUUAUGAGUAAGGCGCACUAAUCGAGGGCUUCAGCUCAGGGCUCCUAAAAAACAUUCUUCUUUGUUAUUUUUUAAAAAAUAAAAGCCCCUUCAUCUCCCAAUCAAUUCAUAUCAGAAGAGAAACACAGUAAUUCACCAUCAAUUUUAUAUGUUAGCUUUUACUGGAAGCAUUCAAUUUCUGUAAUGAAUGAAUGUCUACUUAAGUGUUUUAGGGCUCAGACCUCCAGUCACAUUUAGCUUAGGAAGAGCUGCAUUGGCAUUCCAAACUCAGAUGAGGUCAAAAUAAACCAUGACUUUUUCCAGAAGACCUCUUUACUGCUCCCUUGCUCCCAUAAGACCAAAAAAAGUCCAAAACAAAGCAAACAACAACAAGAAAAAAACCAAAAACACCAAACAAAAAACAGACAAAAAAAUAAAAAAAAAAGACAAAAAACCCCUCAACAAACAAAGAGUAACCCCAAUAAGAAAACACUGACCAUAUCCUUAUAUUAGACCAGCUUUUAGGAACCAAGAAUAUUUCAGGAAAAAAAAAAGUAAAUAUAGGUGGAAAAAUAUACAUAGUUCAAGCUUAUUUCAUAUUCUGUGCAACUUCCAUGCAUGGUUUCAUAUGCAGAAAUGGCUUUAAAAUUCCUUACAGAUACCCUGUUACUGCUUAGUAUCUCCAAGGUCUGGCUGGCACAGUGCAUUUCUUUGAUUCAUAAAUGACUUGUUGUUACUUCAGAGAGUGUCUACAAAAAGCUGUUCAGGGUUUUUGACAUUCCAAGUUACCAGCCUGGCAAAACAAAUCGCUGUCUUUCACAAAGCCCCUUCUUCAUUUGACAGAGCCCUUGAAGCCAGCGGGCAAAGGCCUGAACUAAGACGCCUGCAUCCAUCGUCUCCUUUCCGUCUGUUCUCCUCGUGCCUCCCCGAGAAGUUGGAUCAAAGCAUCCCCAUGGGGACAUCUCAUUAAAAAGCAACUCCCUUCCUUGACCAGGUCACCAGCAGCAUUACACAAGGUUGCAAGUUCUUGUCCAUCAGACAAUGCUUAUAAAUAGCACAGGGAUAGUACUCUCCUUCCAUUUUUAACAACAAUUGCAGAAAUCUCGCAGAAGGACUCCAGAAUGAUGGGAGAAAGGUUAUUCCUCUAACACACUUCUCCUUUAGACACACCUGACCACAUUAGGAAAAAGCAGCUCAAAGACAUGAAAUUUAACAUUAAAGAAAAGACACCAACAAAACCCCAAGGGAGUGCUUCGAGCAGAAGAACUAACACAGCCUUAUUUUCUACACAUUUGCAUCUCAUGAUUGAUAGACUUCAGUGCAGAAGGAAGAGAAAGCCCCAGCUGAAAUUUUGCCUGCCUUUUGGGCAUUUAUAACAACUCACUCCUGUGGAUUUUUGCAUGUAUUAAGGUUUGUUUUCAUGCUGUAGAGUCUCCUGCAUUGAGGAAUUCAGAAGGCCUUAGGGGAAGCAUUUUUACUUAGCUUAGCCUUUACUGCAAAGGAAGGCCAUGCCAGUACAGCAGCAGAAACAAAAAAGUGCUAUUAAUUUGUUGACAUGUGGUAACUUGAGAGAGCCUGAGUCCAUAGACAACUUGAUCUUGUCUGGGCUAGAGUGAAUUGGAGUCCAGAGGAAACCAUCAUUUUGUUUGGUCAUGAGGCACGGAAACAGAAACAUUUAUGACCAAAUAGGUAUGUCAGAAGCCCAUAGGCACCAUUUACGUAAAGUUUUGCCCAAGCAUUUCCUGUUGAAAUAGCAUUUUACACCCGAGACCAAGCUCUGAUAAUCCCCACAUGCUCAGACCAGCCUUGGUGGUAGGAGAAGCUCCUGAAGUCUCUCAAGCAGCACAGCUGCGAGAAUGGAGACACCUCAAACUAGAGGCCAAAUGUUGAAAACAGAGACCCCAUCAAGCUACCAAAAACUCCCAGAAGGAAGCAGAAACACAGGUUUAAGCAGCAUUGCAGCUGCUGCUUCUGAGAAGCACAGGAAAGAGUGCAAGUGCUGAUCAUUGAUACCCACUGCAAGCACAGCGCUGCUGGGACGCACCACGCACCGGCAGCUCCACCGAAUGUCAGCGCUUCAGGCGGAGCCGCCACUUCCUUGGCACACACGAGUCCCGGGCGCUCUUUGUGCCUGAAGCAAUUUUACAUGAGACAGCGACAAAAUAAUUAAACUUUGAAUCCUCCAGAAAUAGAAGGCUGCACUUGUCAUUGCUGAGUCCCUCCUGCUAACAGGGAGCAUGUUGAUGGUGAGCGACAUCACCUGGGCUCAAGGUGACAAACCAGACUUUUCUCACAAAUUAGUAUCCUGCUGCACCACCCAGGAGGGAGACCCCUUUUAUCCUUUAAGCACUGUGCUUAAAUAUUAGAUUAUUUUCUUACUCUGAAUCUUAAGCUAGCACUGCAGGUGGACAAGAGAUGAGCAAUGAGGUUUACAUUGUAGAAUUCCCAAACAAUGCCAUCAAGCACUUGCACCCUGCAAAAUGAUCAGCUAGGUAAUCAAAAUCUUGUCUGUAAAAAAGGUUUACAAGUCUGUCAAACCCUUCAAAAUCCUGUCAGUUAUGCCUCUCAAUUUAAACAAUCCCAUCUAUUUAAACCCGUUUCUCUCAUUUUCUUUCAGUGUGACUGUCUCAGACCCUUUAUUGACCCAUCAAUUCCCCAAAUUGUGAGGUUGCUCCACAGCACAUUACAAAACCUAUGACCAUUUGUUUUACCAUAGCAGCAAACUUGACUAAAAUUAGUGCCUAAAUUGUGCCCAACUGUACAAAUACACAGCAGACACUUCCUGCCCAGAUCAUGUAACCAUAUAAAUAUACAUGAUAAGGGAACAUAGUAUUAUAUGCCUUCACAGAAGGUAAAUGAGAAACAUCCUGUGAACUAUCC